UACGAAGGGGGCUAGCGUUGUUCGGAAUUACUGGGCGUAAAGCGCGCGCAGGUGGUCUUUCAAGUCAGUGGUGAAAGCCCGGAGCUCAACUCCGGAAAUGCCAUUGAAACUGUGAGACUCGAGGACGAGAGAGGUGAGUGGAAUUCCCAGUGUAGAGGUGAAAUUCGUAGAUAUUGGGAAGAACACCGGUGGCGAAGGCGGCUCACUGGCUCGUAUCUGACGCUCAGGCGCGACAGCGUGGGGAUCAAACAGG
rnacentral:rRNA from 1 species